rnacentral:rRNA from 1 species
CCUACGGGGUGCAGCAGUGGGGAAUAUUGGGCAAUGGGCGCAAGCCUGACCCAGCAACGCCGCGUGAAGGAAGAAGGCUUUCGGGUUGUAAACUUCUUUUAAGAGGGAAGAGCAGAAGCCGGUACCUCUUGAAUAAGCCACGGCUAACUACGUGCCAGCAGCCGCGGUAAUACGUAGGUGGCAAGCGUUAUCCGGAUUUACUGGGUGUAAAGGGAGCGUAGGCGGCGAUGCAAGUCAGAAGUGAAAGCCCGGGGCUCAACUCCGGGACUGCUUUUGAAACUGUAUGGCUAGAUUGCAGGAGAGGCAAGUGGAAUUCCUAGUGUAGCGGUGAAAUGCGUAGAUAUUAGGAGGAACACCAGUGGCGAAGGCGGCUUGCUGGACUGUAAAUGACGCUGAGGCUCGAAAGCGUGGGGAGCAAACAGGAUUAGAUACCCGAGUAGUC